rnacentral:rRNA from 1 species
GGUGGAUGAUUUGUCUGCUUACUUGCGAUAACGAACGAGACCUCGGCCCUUAAAUAGCCCGGUCCGCGUUUGCGGGCCGCUGGCUUCUUAGGGGGACUAUCGGCUCAAGCCGAUGGAAGUGCGAGGCAAUAACAGGUCUGUGAUGCAAAUGAACCCCCCGCCCCCAAACGGUGUGUCUUUUAGAAAAUUUCUCUCUAAGUGGAUAAUAAAUUCCAUCAAACUCUAAAUAAUGGCAAUACACCUAUAGCAAACAAAUACUGUGAUCGAAACAAGAAAAGCUCUUUGAAAAGAGAGUGAAACAAUAUGUGAUAUUGUUCAUCUGCAAGGGCGCGCAAACACACACGGUUUUACCGCCCCCACCUCGAAUAGGGGAGAAGAACAAAAACUCGAAAAUGUCGCGCGCACCUUCGGGCGCGCGUGUUAUAUCUCGUGUUGACCCCCCUCUCCCUUUUCGAGCCCUGCGAUUCUGACACGCGGGCAUAGUGGUUGCAACCCCCCCCUUGAAAAAAAAAAACAAAAAAUA